ensembl:lncRNA
AUCAGGUGGCCAAAGUGUUGGAGCUUCAGCUUCAGCAUCAGUCCCUCCAACAAAUAUUCAGGGUUGAUUUCCUUUAGGAUUGACUGGUUGUAUCUCCUUUCAGUCCAAGUGACUCUCAAGAGUCUCCUCCAACACCAUAACUCCAGUCUUAACAUCCAUUAAUAGAAAACACCAUCCUCUUGCUAAUUAGGUCCUAAUAUCCUCAGACAUAGUCCUGCCUCCGUAAACCCCUUCUUCUCCACUGCUUCCUGNNNNNNNNNNNNNNNNNNNNNNNNNNNNNNNNNNNNNNNNNNNNNNNNACCUGCCUGGAGAGCAGGGUGGAUCCAGCUGGCAGGUUCCGUAUGCAGACAGACCCAGUGCAUCUCUCACCGAUGGAAAGUCUUAUCUAUUCUAGACUCCAAACCACCCGGGGAGGUCUGAUGAAGUCCCCAGUUGUUAUUUGGGAGGAAAGAGGUGCUACAAGUUAGAAACGAAACACAGAAGUAGGAUUUGGGGUACAGGGAUGCUGAAUUCCUUCCUCAUAUCAUUUUGUUGGAGGAGCAGACCCUCAAACUCAAGGCUGCUAAGAUGGUUUUUGGAACAGAGAGUAACAGAGAGUGCGUUAGACACCAACCUAGGCACCCCACCCAUCAGGGAUGGUUUGGAAUUUGGAAUUUCAGGAAGAGUAAGGAAGAAUUUGGGGAAGAGGUUUGGGAGGAGGAAGCUUCAGCCACAGGGUGUGAGGGCCGGGGGAGCAGUAGGAUGGUAGGAAGAAGCAAAGGGAAUGGCAAGAUGCUAGCUGAUGUUUCCAGUGGCACCUACCUCGUCCUUUGCACACACUGCCCCACCCCAUCCUCACUACUUUAGCCUAAGAUCCUCUGGAGAGGCCAGGCCCGCAUUUUUCAGUGUUCACAGAUCACCCCAGAGGAAGUCACCUGGGGGCUCCUUAAUCACACAGCCUCCUGGAGAUGCAAUCAUGGUGUUUUCAGCCUCCUGUCCUAGGGAUGUUUCUUCCCAGGUCCCAAAGUAGCUACUUUCUCACUGAGCAGGCUUUAGGACGCAGGCCCCCAGCGUCUAGGCCACAUCUAACAAAUCCAAGUCUUCACAGAUGGGCUGGGAAACUGCUCUCAUGAAAGGUCCCCAGGUGGUUCCCAUGAACAUUAGAACCAGGCCACUGAGCUAAGUCACAUCCUGAGGUUUCAUGUUUGGCAGUAAGCUGGGGAGGGGGGCACACUGUGGCAUCAUUUGACGGCAUCAUUGAUCUUGUGCAAACUGCUAAGAAUAGCUUUGGUCCUCUAAAAACUUCCAACAGGGAAAGGAUAGUCUGUGUCUCGUUUACCAGAACUGCUAGUCUCCUAAAAUACUGGAAAUGAAGGAAUCUUUCAACUCACUGCAGUUCAAUUGCUAAAUUUUAAAGGACAGUGAUGGUUAAUUUCAUGUGUCAACUGAUGCCCGUGCCCACAUAUGCAGUUAAACAUAUUUUGGUUGUUUCUCUGAUGGUGCUUUUUGGAUUUUGCAUUCAAGUCAGUGGACUUGGCGUAAAGUCUAUUGUCCUUCAGUGGGCUCCACUUGUGCGUGGGCUUCUUCUAAUUCCCCUGAAGGCCUGAACAGAACGAACACUGAUCUCCCCUGAGUG